GUUCGAUCCACUGAUACAAACCCAAUUUCUCCUCUGAAAUUGGUAGUUGACUUGCCUUCGGUAGAAGCAGUUCUUUGUUCUGAUGAUGGUUCUUUAGCUCAAAAUCAAUCUUCAGGAGAUAAUCUCUCUCAUGAGAUGCCACUUCCAGAAAAUCAGAGGGGAACACAAUUGGAAGUUGAUGCCGGGCAGUAUGGAACCAUCAGUUCUGAUGCUGCGUUAAUUAGUAGUUCUGAGCAACAGCAGCCAGCUUCUGAUGGUUUUCUGCUUGCUGCUCACGAUCCACUGAGCGACAUUAUGCAUGAUACCCAUAAUGAUGGAAGGA
rnacentral:misc_RNA from 1 species